rnacentral:lncRNA from 1 species
AAAAACAUAAACAUGUAUACAUGAUUGCUAGUCAUAACAGUUUAUAGGAAUAGAAUUGAAUUGUCAUGCAGUACAUCUAGUGGCUAGUGUAGUAAAACAGGGCUUGUAUUUAACAUUAUACAACAACAACAGCAGUGAAUUACAUAAGUUUUCCCUCUUAAUAUUUCUUUUAUUCAUAUUCACUGUUUGGCUAUAGUUUGAUGGUACUAUGGAGCGCUUAUUACCGGAUGUCCUGCAAUGAUCCCUGCAAAGUAAACAAAAUGGACAAGGUACGUAUAUAUGAUAUUAGUUUAGUGAAUGAAACACUGUCACCACUCUAGUUUAACCCCUAAAAUUGAGAAUGGGUUCAACCAAAUAGUUACUGAUACACUUUCUGGAAAAGAUAAUGAAACUGCACCAGUAUAUAUCAACUGAAUUGUUGUGGGCUAGAUAGGAAGAGAGAAAAACAAAUACCUCCGACGGGGGUGCUGCCGGGUCCUAUAUAAAGGGAGACCAA